rnacentral:rRNA from 1 species
AUUCCAGCUCCAAUAGCGUAUACUAAAGUUGUUGCAGUUAAAAAGCUCGUAGUUGAAUUUCUGGUCUUGGACAGCGGUCUGCCUCAAACGAGGUACGCACCAUCUAUCCGAGUCCAUCCUCGGGGAAAACAUGUCUGUGAUUCAGUUCAUGGGCAUGGGAUCCUCGUCAUUUACUGUGAGCAAAAUAGAGUGUUCAAAGCAGGCUUAUGCCGUUGAAUAUUUUAGCAUGGAAUAAUAAGAUAAGACCUUGGUCUAUUUUGUUGGUUUGUACUCCAAGGUAAUGAUUAAUAGGGACAGUUGGGGGUAUUCGUAUUCAAUUGUCAGAGGUGAAAUUCUUGGAUUUAUUGAAGACGAACUACCGCGAAAGCAUUUACCAAGGAUGUUUUCAUCA